rnacentral:lncRNA from 1 species
GAUGGUACACAUUACAGUUGACACAAAACAACAAGACUGUCCUUAACAUAAGUACGUACUAAAUUACUAAUUCAAGAUAGAUAUAUAAUUUGAUUUGGAAGUGCAUGGAGAAAUGAAUCGUAGAGUAUUCAUGCACACGUACGUCUUCAAGGCAAUCCACCCCCAAGCCCACCGCCAGCACCAGCUCCUCCACCGAAACCUCCCCCAGCUCCUCCUCCAAGUCCUCCUCCACCACCACCACCGAAUCCUCCUCCGCCACCUCCUCCAG